GUGCCAGCCGCCGCGGUAAUACGGGGGGAGCAAGCGUUGUUCGGAUUUACUGGGCGUAAAGGGCGCGUAGGCGGCGCAACAAGUCACUUGUGAAAUCUCCGGGCUUAACCCGGAGCGGCCAAGUGAUACUGUCGUGCUAGAGUGCGGAAGGGGCUACUGGAAUUCUCGGUGUAGCGGUGAAAUGCGUAGAUAUCGAGAGGAACACCUGCGGCGAAGGCGGGUAGCUGGGCCGACACUGACGCUGAGGCGCGAAAGCCAGGGGAGCGAACGGGAUUAGAUACCCCCGUAGUCC
rnacentral:rRNA from 1 species